rnacentral:rRNA from 1 species
GAUAAGACAUGCAAGUCGAACGCUGAUCGUCGGGUAGCAAUAUUCGGCGGUCGGAGUGGCGCAAGGGUGCGUAACACGUGGGUAAUUUGCCGCGAAGACGGGGAUAACUUGCUGAAAGGCGAGCUAAUACCGGAUGUGACUCCUGGAAGGCAUCUUCUGGAAUUCAAAGUUGGGGACCGCAAGGCCUGACACUUCGCGAUAAGCCCGCGGCCUAUCAGCUAGUUGGUGAGGUAACGGCUCACC